rnacentral:rRNA from 1 species
ACCGACAGCCACGCCACCUUCAGCACACCCGAGCUCCUGUGAUGUCAGAAGCUAAGCAGGGUCGGGCCUGGCUAGUGCUUGGAU